UCCGAGUUGACCCCGGCGGUCUCCCACGAGUCCCCAACUAAAUGCUGGCAACAUACGACGGGGGUUGCGCUCGUUGCGGGACUUAACCCAACAUCUCACGACACGAGCUGACGACAGCCAUGCACCACCUGUGAAGAUGCCCCGAAGGGAAGACCUGUUUCCAGGCCGGUCAUCCACAUGUCAAGCCCAGGUAAGGUUCUUCGCGUUGCAUCGAAUUAAAGAACAUGCUCCGCUGCUUGUGCGGGCCCCCGUCAAUUCUUUUGAGUUUUAGCCUUGCGGCCGUACUCCCCAGGCGGAACACUUAACGCGUUGGCUGCGGCACAGAGGGAUUCGACUCCCCCCACACCUAGUGUUCAUCGUUUACCGCGUGGACUAC
rnacentral:misc_RNA from 1 species